rnacentral:lncRNA from 1 species
GCUUAACGUUUUGAUUAAUUAUUUUAAUAUAUCUUUUGAAUUUAAAGAAGAAACUUGAAAAGAAGUGCAAAGUUUCUAAGCAAUAUUAAACAGUUUAGUUUUGAUAUCUUUAUGCCAUGUUUCAUAUAUUUUAACUGUAUAUUGUAGACUAGUUAUACCCCCGCUCCAAAGGAAAGGGGGGUAUACUGUUUUAAUUCUGUCCGUCCUUCCGUCAGUCCGUCCGUCCGUAACACUUUUUCGAAACACUUUUCUCAGAUACUAUGUAUCACAGCUAUUAGAUAUUUGGUAUCAAGCAUCAGGUUGGGGUGCUGUACCGUGUAAGCGGUUUUCAGGUCUGUCGCUCUUCUACUUCCUGUUUACGGACUUAGUACAUAUAUUAGACAUAGGGGUAUUAAUGAAAAAUUUUCGUAACACUUUUCUCAGCUACUAUGUAUCACAGCUAUUAGAUAUUUGGUAUCAAGCAUCAGGUUGGGGUGCUGUACCGUGUAAGCGGUUUUCAGGUCUGUCGCUCUUCGACUCCUGUUUACGGACUUAGUACAUAUAUUAAGACAUAGGGGAUAUUAAUGAAAAAUUUUCGUAACACUUUUCUCAACUACUAUGUAUUACAGCUAUUAGAUAUUUGUUAUCAAGUAUCAGGUUGGGGUGCUGUAUUACCGUGUAAGCGGUUUUCAGGUCUGUCGCUCUUCGACUCCUGUUUACGGACUUAGUACAUAUAU